rnacentral:rRNA from 1 species
GUAGGGUGCAAGCGUUAAUCGGAAUUACUGGGCGUAAAGCGUGCGCAGGCGGUUUUGUAAGUCUGUCGUGAAAGCCCCGGGCUCAACCUGGGAAUUGCGAUGGAGACUGCAAGGCUUGAAUCUGGCAGAGGGGGGUAGAAUUCCACGUGUAGCAGUGAAAUGCGUAGAGAUGUGGAGGAACACCGAUGGCGAAGGCAGCCCCCUGGGUCAAGAUUGACGCUCAUGCACGAAAGCGUGGGGAGCAAACAGGAUUAGAUACCCUGGUAGUCCACGCCCUAAACGAUGUCUACUAGUUGUCGGGUUUUAAUUAACUUGGUAACGCAGCUAACGCGUGAAGUAGACCGCCUGGGGAGUACGGUCGCAAGAUUA